rnacentral:rRNA from 1 species
ACUCCUACGGGAGGCAGCAGUGGGGAAUAUUGGACAAUGGGCGCAAGCCUGAUCCAGCCAUGCCGCGUGAGUGAUGAAGGCCCUAGGGUUGUAAAGCUCUUUCACCGGUGAAGAUAAUGACGGUAACCGGAGAAGAAGCCCCGGCUAACUUCGUGCCAGCAGCCGCGGUAAUACGAAGGGGGCUAGCGUUGUUCGGAUUUACUGGGCGUAAAGCGCACGUAGGCGGACUAUUAAGUCAGGGGUGAAAUCCCGGGGCUCAACCCCGGAACUGCCUUUGAUACUGGUAGUCUUGAGUUCGAGAGAGGUGAGUGGAAUUCCGAGUGUAGAGGUGAAAUUCGUAGAUAUUCGGAGGAACACCAGUGGCGAAGGCGGCUCACUGGCUCGAUACUGACGCUGAGGUGCGAAAGCGUGGGGAGCAAACAGGAUUAGAUACCCCUGUAGUCCCAUGA